rnacentral:rRNA from 1 species
GAGUUCAAGAGUACGUGAAACCGUUCAGGGGUAAACCUGAGAAACCCGAAAGGUCGAACGGGGAGAUUCAGACGCGUCUCGGAUAACCGCGGCGAGUCGGUGACGAGAGACGGUCGGCGUUCGCGCCGAACGCUCCGUUGCCGUUCCGUCCGCGGCCGAACGCGUGCACUUCUCCCCCUGUAGGACGUCGUGACCCGUUGGGCGCCGGUCUAAGGCCCGCGGUGGAGCCCGCGCGAGCUUCUGCUCGUUCGGACCCGCGGUGUCCGGCCGGUGACCUGCCGACGGUACGAUUGUGGCGCGGGGCCGCGACCUGUUCGCGUCCGGCCGAUCGCAAGUGCUGACGGACAAUCCGAAAUCCGGACCCGGUGCCGGAUCCGGUCCCGUCUGACUGCUGGCGAUCGUGUUCUCGGUCAGACCCCGAACACGCCCGUCGACGGCGCUAUAGCUUUGGGUACUUUCAGGACCCGUCUUGAAACACGGACCAAGGAGUCUAGCAUGUGCGCGAGUCAUUGGGACUCUUACGAAACCUAAAGGCGCAAUGAAAGUGAAGGUCCGCCGUGCGCGGACCGAGGGAGGAUGGGCGGCCCCGAGGGGCCGUCCCGCACUCCCGGGGCGUCUCGCUCUCAUCGCGAGAAGAGGCGCACCCAGAGCGUACACGCUGGGACCCGAAAGAUGGUGAACUAUGCCUGGUCAGGACGAAGUCAGGGGAAACCCUGAUGGAGGUCCGUAGCGAUUCUGACGUGCAAAUCGAUCGUCGGAACUGGGUAUAGGGGCGAAAGACUAAUCGAACCAUCUAGUAGCUGGUUC